rnacentral:rRNA from 1 species
GAUGAACGCUGGCGGCGUGCUUAACACAUGCAAGUCGAACGAUGAAGCCCAGCUUGCUGGGUGGAUUAGUGGCGAACGGGUGAGUAACACGUGAGUAACCUGCCCUUAACUCUGGGAUAAGCCUGGGAAACUGGGUCUAAUACCGGAUAGGAGCGUCCACCGCAUGGUGGGUGUUGGAAAGAUUUAUCGGUUUUGGAUGGACUCGCGGCCUAUCAGCUUGUUGGUGAGGUAAUGGCUCACCAAGGCGACGACGGGUAGCCGGCCUGAGAGGGUAACCGGCCACACUGGGACUGAGACACGGCCCAGACUCCUACGGGAGGCAGCAGUGGGGAAUAUUGCACAAUGGGCGCAAGCCUGAUGCAGCGACGCCGCGUGAGGGAUGACGGCCUUCGGGUUGUAAACCUCUUUCAGUAGGGAAGAAGCGAAAGUGACGGUACCUGCAGAAGAAGCACCGGCUAACUACGU